UUGGAGCUAGGAAAGCGAUUAUGACACACCAGGGUUUCUUAGAAGCUGCGUUUUCUUUCAGAACUGAGAAGGACAUCAGAAGCGAGCCUCGCAGCUCACCGGAAAACUUUUUCAAAACAGGAAAAAACUCUUGAAAGCUUUGAAAGGUCAACUUGAAAGUGAACGCGUCUGCCUGAUCCGGCCGCCCUCUUGAGAUCACGGAGUAGAUUGCAAGAUCAUUUCAUCGGAGUGCUCCGAGAUUUCUUCAGCAGCUGAAUGAAAGAUGACAGCAUAUCCACAAAAACUACAGAACAAUUCUAAUGGAAGGAAAAUACAUGAAGAGGAAAAAAAGAAGCCAAAAAAGGUUAACAUUGAUCGGUGCAAUUUGGAAUCUACAACAUCCAGAUUGUGCUGUGGCAUGGCCAAAAAUGCCACAUGACCCCCCUUCUCACCCAUGUUCUUUAUUUUCAAAGCACGCCACUUCAAACUAGUUCUUAUCUUCUGGCACAGCACUUCUCCUACCCCAGCUUGGGUUUAUUCUGCUGAAGGAACAGUGAUCAGAGCUGUAGGCUCGAUUACAGGUGUCUUCUGCAACGUGCCUCGUGUGAGGGCAGCAACUGCCCUGCCUCUGUGGAAAGAAUUGUCUCCAUUUCACUUUCAUUUUGUAUGUUCUUGUCCCACAGACACACCACAGCAGUGGUGGCUCAGAAGGUCUCUGUGAGUGCCUGCUCCACCCAUGUUUUUCAGCUCAGCUUUCUUCUAAAGUAGCAGUCUGCACAUGAGAACAGAAAUGGAUGCUUUCAGUCCGUAAAAAAGAAUAAAAUGACAUAGAGUUUGUACUGCUGAACCUCAAUUUCUUUUUAUUACUUGAAGGUAAAUAAAUAGAAAUAAAACAUACUGCAUCUCAGCUUUCAUUCACUCCCUCCCUUUUUCUUUCCUGUCUUUUCCUGUCUGAGAGCCCAACACUCAGCCUAAUCAUCCUUACAAAUUGUGAGUCACAGUAUUUAUUUUGCCAUUUUGCCUCUUUAUCUUAUUCCAAAUUACAACCUUCUUUCCUUAGUCUCUUUUUUUUGUGUAUCUACCUGAAAAUAACUUUACCCAUUUGCCUUGACUUCUUUCACAAAGUCUAAGUCAGCCUGGCUUUUAUCAAAUCUUAACUGUAGACAGCCUGAGCUCCAGCAUGCAUCUUCCUAUGAUGCUCAGUGCUUCUUUCAAUCUCCAAAGGUGUUUUCCUCUUGGAGCUUAUUUUGGUUAUGCUGGAUUUGCAGCUCUUCUAUAGCUGUGUUAUCCCCUGCUUAGUAUUCUCGUUUCUGAUGUCUUUUGUGACUCUGAUGAAGAGAAGUGUGAAACUCCUACAUAUUCAAGGCUCUGAGCUUUUCAUGUCAGGUCACUUCUCUAACCAGUCCUUUUUAUGUUCUCCUGGGUUCCUGCUUUUGAAGUAAAAACUGAAAUAACAAGAGACCUGAAAGUCCAAAGAAAUCUCUUCUUUUCUUAUGGUCACCAUACCCAGUUUAUUUUUACCAACCAAUAUGAACCAGAGAGACUUCUCUCAAACUGAAAGAGUUUACAGUUCUUGUAUUUAUUUUUUGGCACUUGUGGAAAUACAUCAUCUUUUUUCUUUGAAGUUAAGUAAGCUUUACUUUACAAAGCAAAGUCAAGGAAACACUCAGUGAUUUCUCUCAAGAUCCUUCAGGAUAUCUUUCUUAAAGCAAAGGGAGGCUUUUGGCUUCCUGUGCUGAAAUCAUCUCAAUCAAACUUAUUCUAUUCCUUUGCAUUGUGACAUAAGCCCCUUAAUGACCACAUCAACAAGCAGGCACUUAUUUCUACACUUAUUUUUCCAACUCACCUGAACUUAAUUUCACUAUCUGGAAAGCGUGGUGAGGGGUGCAGGAAGAGCAGGAGUAGGGGAGGGAAGCCAUGAGCACUGCAGACUACAAAGAUAUAUAUUUACCAAUUUUAUUUGGUCCUGCUGUGUCAAGGUUACAUAAACAGGCAAAAUCCAAAGAACAGGCAGAGAAGUUCCUGUGACAAUGCUACUUAGUGUGCUGAGCUUUAAAUAGCUGCUCUGAUACUCCCUUUUGAGGACUCUAGAAGCAAACCCAACAUGAGUGGGACAAUCCACCUCAAAAACUCCACAAAUAGAGGCACCUCUACCUAGUACAAAAAUGCCAUUUUAGUACAGCUACAGCUCAACUCUAUCUCACAGCAGUGGGCUGAAGACCUCUGAGAAAACCAUUCUAGUGCAACACAGCACUGUCAAGAUAUGUCUGGAUGGUUUGAGAACCAAAAAUGUAUCUGAGCCACGGCAUCAAAAUGAUUUAAAACUUAAUAACUUUCUGUUUCCAGAAAUAAAGCAAAGUUGUUAUUUAAUGGCUGAAAUACUGCCAUUUUCUCUGAAUGCCAGUAAUAAUUUAAAUUCAUGACUCCUGUAUUAUUCAUGUGGUCCAAUUUAAUACGAACAGUAUUUCUGGUGCUCAGUGUUUAUGAAGAGUGUCUCUUUAGGGUAUACCUUACUUUAUGUCAAACAGAUGCUAGAAAUAACUACCUGGUGUUCUGCUACUGUGAACUGGGGAUUAAAAAUAGGGCUCAUAAUUUUCUAACCUGAACAAGGGAUCUUUCCUUGACAAGAUACCAAUCUCUUUUUUUUUUUCCUUCUUUUCUUUUAUCUCUACUGUUCUCUUUCUCUUCACUCAGAAACAACAGUUUCUACUAAGCAUGAUUUACAGACUCAAAGAACACCCCACUUUUUACAUUCCAUUAUUUGCUACACCAUCCCCUAGGCCUCAGAAGCUUCAAAGAUAAAAUAGCCAACCAUCUUAAUGAUUGUAAAGAAAUUGAGAAGCAAUGGGACAACUGGACCACGCCACCCAUUUUCCCUUUCUGAGAAAACACCUGCAAAUUCUCCUGAAAGUCAGAGUAUGGUAAAUACAGAAUCUAGUAGGUGUGAAAGUAGUUUGCACAAGAAGCCCAAAGUAAAAUAAAUGUUUAUUUAUUAUUUAUAAAACGAAUUCCUUUUUGAAAAAUAAAGAAAUAACAAAAACAACCUUGAGGGAUUCCUUCAUAUCUCUACUGCUUUCUGUUUUAACAAAGUACUUUGGGAUCAUUUUCAUACCUGUGUUUUUCCAUGGAGUACUAAGAAGAAAGAGGAGUAGUUAUUUGAUUUUCAAUUAUCAGCAGAAGUCACCAACUUGAAUAAAUACUUCAUAAAACAGUGCAGGAUAGUCAACAGCAGUUCAGUACACAGCAGUUCAAGGUACUUCACUUUGCCUCACCGAAUGUCUCAACGUCACCCUGAAAUAAAUAGUGAAAAUCCUAAUUCAACUUAUACCUAGCAAAGGAAAUUUACAGGCUAAGUUUAGAAAUACUUCUUGAUGUUAUUUAUACUAUCAGCCAUCCCAUAAAGCAAUUGUGUUCUUUCCUGGUAUUAAAAUCUAUACAUCUAUUUGUUCUUCCGUGAUUUGGUUGCUAUCUAUAAAUGUAACCAGUAUUAAGUGUUGUUCUUCUGUUUCCUGCUGACAUGGGGUGUAAUUCUUCAAUUAUUUGUCCUUUGACUAACUGAAAUAGAGCAUCAGUAUUAGGAUGGGACUCUAAAAUGAAACUGAGGAGGAUGCAAGGGUAAAACCAGAAUAAAACAAUUAAAACCGAAGAUUGCCUCUUAUCAACCUUACAAUAACAGGAUCACUGCCCACUGCAUAUUGCUUUUUUCAGAUGUUUUUUUUCCUUCUUAAAAGAAAGUUAAUUAUAUUUCUACAGAUUAUUGAAAGCAAAACUACUGAAAACAAAUGGAGAGACAGGUUAUAAAUCUGCCUAGGAUCAAAACCAAGAUAGAUUUCCAUUAGCCUGCUUAGAACUAUCUCAAAAGGUUUAUUUUAGGGACAAUCCAGAAUUAGUAUCUUAUACAGUGUAUGCACAUACUAGGAAAUACAAAGAUCCAUGGACAAUCCAUAAAUUAACAUUCACAAAAAACCCAUAUAGAUGUUUGGACUCAGCAUCAUUAAAGAUAAUCUGUGUAUUAUCUCUAUUACAUCUAUCAAUUUCAUAAUAUUUAUAAUUCAUGCUACCAUGUACUGCAAGCUUUUCCCCAUCCACUCCCAAAUUAGCAGUCUAGACUGAUCAUUAAAUUAAAAAACAACAACAACAAAGAAAAAAAAAAAAAAAAAAGAGCCAAACCAAAACAAAAUUAAAAAAAACCCCAACCAACCCAAAAAACCCACAAAACCUCAACACACAGAUGCCACUCAUUUCUAUCACUGGAGAGAAAUGAGUUUCAUUCACUCUAACACAGUGUGAGGUCUAUCAAAAUUUCUCCCCUGUAGCUGGACUGGAAAGCAGUAAAGGUACAGAAUUUAAAAAAUAAGGUCAUAAUUACCAUGAUGAUGCAUUUAAUAAGAGCACCAGAAACAUCCAUCCUUUUAUAAAAACAUGCUUACAUGCAAAUAGGCACACAGAUAAUUCUGUGGGAUAAUAUGAGCAGCAGGGAUAUGAAGGGUGACCCACACGAUGACACCGUAUCUCUGCAUUAGCAAGGAAGUAUUGUGCCCAAAACUAUGAAAAUAAAUUAAGAAUAAUGCAUUUAGAUAGAGUGACAAAGUUUUACCUUAUAUUUUUACUUUAUGGUAUAAAAUGCUUUUGACAUUAGUCUUCACAUCUUUGAAUAAAUCAUCAUUACCUAUUGUCUAUUUCUGGAUAUUACUACACUAUCCAUGAUUUUUUUUCUCAGUUAGCUUUCUGCUUUGUCUCUGACAAAGAGGCCUUUCUUCCCCAAAACAAAAAAAUUUCCAUUAAAAAGUCCUUGUCACUUGAUUGAUCUAUUGUUCAAGUAAAAUACUUGACAGCUUUUAUCAAAUCCACAUUUCAAUUUACUCCAAAGCAGAAGUUAGCAGGUUGAGAUUGCAGUGGGUCUGAUGGACAAACAAAAUAAAAGACGUAUUAGGAAAGAAAUGGGUAACAAUAUUUCUGAUAGCCAUUUUUUCAUGGAGAGCAGUAAUAAGAGAAACCUAGAAUUGUGAUACUAAAAUUAUUUAUUGCAGAAAUGCUGUAGUCUUUAUAGGCUUUUCUUUUACCAUAAUUUCACUGCCUUUUUUUCACGUUCCACAUUCCUGUGGAAAAACAAAAAAUUUUUCCUUGCAAUCUA
rnacentral:lncRNA from 13 species